GUCCACAUCACAGUCCAUGAGCAAGGGAAGCGAGGCAGGAAUCUUAAGCAGGAACAGUAGAGGAACCACUGCCUACUGGCUUGCUCUCCAUAACUUGCUCAGCUUGCUCGCUUAUACAACCCAGGGCCAUCUGCGAGUGGUGCCACAGUCCACAUCCAUCUUCAAUCAAGACACGCCCACAGUUGCACAGGUGCUCCCAGGUCGAUGGACUUCAGACGCGGGUCACUGCCAUCAGGAAACAGCUGAGUCACGAACUCCCAGGUCCAAGGGGAGGAAGCAGAUUCCAGGAUACACGAAGACAAAGAUAGGCCCUUAUGUGGAUGAGGAUUUAAAGGAGUUCGAGUCAUUUCUUGCCUCAGUACUGUACCCUGCCUGGUGUCCACUUAAGUCUUUCAGUUUCCCGCCCAGCACAUUCCACUUGGGGCAAGGGACCUGUAGAGUCAUCCUUGAGCCUGCAUGCCCGACAUGGCAGGUCUUCCAGCUGGUCCUGCGUUUUCUUUUCUGCGGCUGCUGCUGGCUCCUCUGCAGAGGUCAACAGUGGCGCCCAUAUUCCUGCCCCUCCUCUGUGGAGCUCUCUCUGAACCUGUGCAGAUUUGAAAGACGCUGUAGCUCUCCUGGGCUGUUG
rnacentral:lncRNA from 1 species